CCGGAAGAGCCGCACCUGUCAGGAAUCACUCAUCUUUUUCCGUCAGCUGCGAAGCAAUGUUGCCAAGAAAUUUGACAUUCCAACCCUGGACCUCAAAGAUUUUGAUGACUCCAAAACUGAAACUGAUGAGGAUGUGUUCGAGUUUCUUCUGAAGAAUCGAGGCCUUGGUGUGCUGGAGGUCUGUUUGCUGGAAAAGCCAAAUCCUGGUGAUUCAGUGGGCUCCUCUGCAAGUUGUUCCUUUGAAAGAUUAGGUGGAGACAAUGAAGGGGACUCUGAUCGCACCAUCGACCUGCAGCCGAGUUCUCCUCAAAGGCAGGCGAAUGAGAUCGUUUCUGUAGCUCAGCUGGUCCUGAAGGCGAUAGAGAGCCCUCUGUGGAGGAGAGCUGGCUAACCACAGACGCCCUGUGUUCAGAGGCCAAGAUUUCAGUUUGAUGCUUGUUGAUGCCGUCUCUGCAAGGUUCCUGGAGAAGUGGCCACAGUCUACAGGAGGAAAAAGCUUCAACAAAGCCGUGGCCUCACACAGACUGCAAGGGAAGCCAGUGACCUUGUGAAGUUCAUUAAGACUGGGACUAACAUCCAAGGGCAUCUGGACAGCAUCUGGAAAGCUGUCGACCCUAUCUUCUGGCAGUGGGAACCCAGAGAAGCGCAAUCUGAAAAUAUUUCAUCACCACUGACAAACACGCCAUAACCUGCAAGUCACUGGACUCUCUUGCCUGUUUUUUAUGAGCUUUUUUAAGCUCAUGUUGUUUUUGGUCCUUCGUACAACCACAAUCUGGCAAAUGUGUACAGCUUUUUGCAAACCACUAUGAAAUAGAAAUUUCCACCACCAAAGUGAGUCCGGAUGCAGCGCUGAGUUAGUACAAAGAUGUUGUGUUUUCUUUGCAAAUGUCACCAGGAAGAUGUUAAUUCCAUGAUCAAGCACUUUAAGUGAAAUCUAGAUGUAUGUGAUGGCUUUAUGGAACCUAUUCACACGGCAGCCGUUUUCUUCUGGCGUUACUGCAGAAUUUCAGCUCUUUAAAUAUGGCUUGAUGCCCUCUGGAUUUUCACUGUCCACUCCCUCUUCAGCUGCUGAUAGUUUGGCGUUACAUUUUGGGGGAGAAAUCAUUCCCCUGCCCUCCAUUUUCUUCUCUGAGUAUUCUUCUGCAUUUGUCGGUGUUUGUCAUUGAAAAGCUUUUUACCUUCUUGUUGAAAUAUGCAAUACAAGUGAAUUGUCCAAGUAGCAACAACUCCAAAUGACACAAGCCUCAGGAACAGAACGGUUUUUGUAAAAAUGCCGCCAUAUUGUUCAAAAAAUAUAAACCUUAGCGAAUAAUGUCAUUUUUUUGUGUUGCCUAGUAGGUAAUAAAUGUGAGUACAUUCUCCAAUUCAUAAUGACAACACUUUGUCACUCUUGUUGCACUGACUUAAUAUAUGUUUUUAUCAUUAAUCUUUGUUUUUAGAGAUGCCUCUGUCACGUCCCGCACAUCAGCGUCCUCUUAGGGGCGCUGGGUGGUUUCUUGUAUUGUUUUUCAGGUGGGUGGUGCUCGAGAGGCGUGAGACCAGGUCGUCAGCAGGAUGACUUUUAGCUGCUUUUGUCCCCGUCACUAUUUAAGUGGCGUCCUGGCUUGAAGUCAGCGCUGGAUCAUAACAUCUACUCUACUUCCUGCCUCUCCAGCCUGCCGGCCCCGGACUGACACUUAAACUCUGAUCCUGGAUUGCUUCCCCGAACCACAGCUUGGACCACCUCUGUCCUGUGAACCACCUGACCUGCUGCCCGUACUCACUGACUUGUGGACCUAUAAAUAAACUUAACACUUCCAGAUCCGCCUCCUC